GGAAUUGUCGCGAAUGAAAUUAACGACAGUUUCUAGUGUCGUAAGACAGUUUUUUUGUCAGCGGAAAUAAGGCCUAAAAUAAGUGAAUACGCCCUGCACACGGCUCUCAAACUCUCGCUCUGCUCACGGCUCGCUCUCGCUCGCUUCCGCGCUCUCGCUCUCGGCUUUUAAAUCAUUAUUCACUCAUGGCCUCUAAAGCAUUUUUUUUUUUGCAUACGAUUGGGAAGUAAGCUUAAAAUGAAUGAAUGAUUAUAUAGUUAGAUUCGGUUUUAUAUUAUUGACUGUUUGUCGCUGCUUUAAGGAUUCUUACCAAAAUGAUAUAAAACACAGUUUAGGUCACAGUCUUAUCGCCUGUAUAAUACUUAAAAACACCUGAUAUAAAAUCAUCCCUGGCUAUGUUACGCAUGCAUAAAUAUAUAAAAGAUUAGUUUCAGUUCAAUCGUUAAAAGCUUAACUGGCAACGGUGACGCCCCUGCACACGGCACGCAGCUGGCUGUCUUACGUCAAUAUAAACAUUGUACACGUGGUGUCUGACGUAGAAGGUCAGCAAGUAGUACAUCCACUUCGUGUGAUCGUGCUCAAUUCCACUGAAUUUCACUCAAGAUGCCUGGUCCCUGCUGCAUUGAUAAAUGCGAGUGCGCCGAGGGAGGCUGCAAGACAGGAUGCGUGUGCAAGAGCUGUCGCUGUGAACCCUGUGAGAAAUGUAAGUAUU